GCAUAUAUAGAGAGAUAUAUUUAUAUAUAUAUUUAUAUAUGUUGUGUGGGGAGAACUCGGGCAGGCGAUAGGCUGCAGAGAGGACUGAUCCUCUCCACCUGCAGCCGCUGGCUUUUAUGUCCCCUGCAUCCGUGUGGCAGCAGCAUCUCUCCAGAGCCUCCCCUCCAGAGCUCGGCCGCUGUCCGCUGCUCUCUGCAGGUGUACGAGAGGGGGGCACAAGAAGAAAGAAGAUCCCCCCUACCCCCCUGCACUCACAAACACCCCGCCCUGCCCUCCUGGCUGGGGAGAAACAGCGACUUUUUUGUUUCUUAGGCAAUUCCCCCAGCACGAAGGUAGGGAAAUGCCCCACCCAGGCAGGGAAUGCAGCUCACGGAAUAGAAACGCGGUUGUUGUGAGCAAAAGAGCAUCACUGAGCCUGCACCUACCGGGAUCAAAUCCCUGCAGGCUUCUUCCAGGGGUCUCCUGCCCUGCUGCCAGGGGAGGACAGCAGCCCGAGCGACCCCGGGGAGCUGCAUUUCAAUGCCAAUUUUCGGCAGGGCUGCUGGUACAGUGGGGAUUUUUGACUCGGGAAGAUCUGGGACUUUCACAGGAAUGAGCAUCCUUGUAGCAACCCAGAACUCCUCCCAGGAUUUUAAGAGUGCUGCAGAUACUUCUCAUUCUCUGGAUCUGUCAGGGUGCAAUAAAGCCCAUUCUCUUCCAGAGGCAAAACCCACUGAACCCAUAGAUCUGCCUGAGCAUGCCCAUCUGCUUUCCUCAAUAGAUCGAUUUAAACCAGCUUGACUCAGCUGGGAGCCAGGAAAUACUCAGUGCACACCUCUGACAAUGCUGGCAGAGCAGAAAUGAAUGAAUGAAGGACCCACCAGCAGCCUGCUAAACUCCAGCUAUAGGGCAGGAGUUCCUCUGAGCAUCUCCCCGUGGGUACAGAGCAGCCCUUUCUUCUGGGAGCUGCUCCUAGGAUGUGCCUUCUGGCUUUUAAUUCUGAUAUGGAUUGUGUAUGCUGGGCAGAAGUCUGCCUGCAAUUCAGAAUAUGGGCUUGUUCACCGCUUUUUCCUGCUUUCAGAAACGUGAAGUAUUACUGAAGGUAGUAUAAAAAUAUAAAUUAAUCAAAUGUAUUAGUUAUAAAAUAUAAACUAGAGGCUCAUCCUCCCCAAGUCAGACUCUGUUGCAGUGACCUGAGGGCUCUAUCCAGCCGUAUUUCCACAUGUGAACCACUGCUGUUACAAAGAGCUCACAAAGACAGGCACAGAUUUUCAGAAUUCCCACACACCAGCCCCAGUGAGGAGGAGGAUGUGCUCCACAAUGCUCCAAACCUGGUUUCCCAAACCCAAACGAAAAUUUGCCACUACAGAUGCCUCAAGUUUGCUUGAUCAUGCUGGAGUGUCUAUUAAUGGAAUAACUUUCCAUGAUUAAUUAGUCUUGUUGGACCAAUCAAGGUGCAUUUCAAGAAUAAAGGGGUUUUUCAUCUCAGGGAGUCAAAGGUUCUGCAAUUCAUGACGUUUUAAGAGCUAAUUUUGGACUAUCUGAUGUCCUGUGGGACAUAACUAUAAGCAAGAUAUACAUUAACUCUGAAAAGAUAAAUUAUUUUCUGACCAGUAUAAUAAAAAUUUAAGUGCAACAUUGUGCAAAAUCAGAAUCCACUGAAAAUAUUAAUAAUAUUUUUAAGUGUGUUUUGUGUUCUAUUUUUAAGAUUAUUGUCUAAAUGUUAACCGAGGGGAUGAAAUGAUGGGAUGGUACAAAACAUUUGAGCUGUUUCUCAUUAGCUUUACUUAACACUGAUGCCAAUGGAUCAUGAUGUGAGGAGUGGUGAGCACUGGGGUAAGUUAAGUCUCUUGGGAUAGAUGUCAUGCUAUGGAUUGGGAAUUGAUUGCAGGAAUGUUUUAGCUUUGGUUUUCCAGCUGACUGCACCCAUAGCUUGAAUCAAUGGUUACAUCCUCAGCAAGCAAAAUUGGCUUUAUGGGUUUAAAACUCAGUCAUCCUUUCUGUCACAUAUAGAAAAAUCUUGUCUUAAUCCCCUUUGAAAUAGUUAACAAAGCAAUAUGGACAAGCUAUUUUUUAUAUUUUUCUCUGAGGUCUCAAAUGUCAAGAGGAUAAAAAAGGGGAUGCAAUUAUUCCACAUUAAAUUGCAAUAUUUUGUUUUGUGGGGCAAGAUAAGGGCAAUCAAAUCCUUCUGUGUCUGCCUUGCCUGGGACAUUCUGCAGCCAUCUAUCACGUGUUGCCCCUGGGCUGUGCUGCCUCAUAAUUCAGGGUUAAGAUCAUCUCUGGAGGCACCAGGAAGGCUCAGCUCAGUUCCAGCAGCGUUUGCAGCUCCGUCUCUGCUGGCCAAUUCAACAGGUCUGCAGCUCAGCUUGGAGCCAAACUCUGCUGCUCCCAGCUGCCAGGAGAACUGCCUGCGCUUCUGUUUCCCAUCUGAACUUUCUCAUCUCCCCUCCUGGGGCUGUUCCUGGUGUCUGUUCAGUGUCUGGGCCCAGUGCCCUGAGCCCUGACCCCAGCACUGGGAUGUGACCAGAACAAAACCUUCAGGUGUGGGAUCCCCUAAAUGAGGCAAGAGGGCCUUGACCUGGCUCCCAGGAGCUGCUGUGCACCUGGAAGAUCAAUUCCUGCAGUGGGAUUUACCCACAGAAUUAUCCAGAGAGAGCCUGAGUAGCUGCUCAGACCCUACAAGACCUGGGAUCCCAGAUGUCUCCUUCAUUUGCCAUCUCAUAGUAACUCCAGUGGUUCAGGUGUUUUCCCUGUGCCCCUUUAAAUUCCUUUUUUGCCUCCCUUAAAACAGUUCCUGGCCCUUUGGGAAGCACAGAGCACUAUGUGUAAACUGCUGGUCUAAACCAACAAAGCCUAUUGUAACAAAUAACAACAAUGAAUAAACAGACAGUAGGAAAAUGUUUUUAGUUUAGAAUUGAUAGGAAAGGACUCACUUGCAAAACACUGUCAUGAAGCUUGUGACAUGACUGGACUUUUUCCUAAAACCUCAAAGCUCUCAGGAUCAUGGUUGUUCAUUCCUGGAGAGAAAUAAUGAAUAACAGGAUGUUGUUGAGAGCUCAAAUAAUCACAGACUCUGGAACAUUAAUGGAACUGUUGUCUAAAACAAAGGAGCUGUUCCAGACAGCUGGAAAUGCAGUCCUGAGUUUAAUUUGUUACAAUGCCUGCAAUUUUUCUAGCCUUGUUUCGACAAUCAUUGCUUGCAAAAUAAUCAUAAGGGAGGAUGACUUGCAUAUUCUUCCAAUGGGUCAGGAUGGUUUGUGACAAAAACAAACCAAAACAACAGUGAGGAGCAAAAAUGCCAAAGUCCUCUUAACUUCUUCUCAAAGCCAUCAUUCUGCACAGCUGCUGUUCCAUACAUCCAGUGGGUGUCUUCUGGAGUGGUUUUACAUGCAGAAUUUACUAAUACCACACUUCCAUGCAGGAAUGAACAAGGGGUUUUGAUACAGGGCCAAUGGAUUAUUUGGGUUAAAGAUUUGAUGGGAAAAUUUAAACGCUUGGAGCCAGAUCUCCCUGCUUGGCUUGGAGCUGAUCCAGGCUGCAUCCCAAGGGAUAAAUGCAAUUUCUGGCACAUGGGAGUGGCAGUUUGGUGUGCCACCCUUCUGCCACCUCCCUGGACACCAUUUAACAGGUCCCAUCUGGAUUUUAGUAGGUGCUGAGCAGUCAUUUAGGGUCUGCCUAAGGUUUUUCACCUGCAGGGCCGUGUGUGACUCCUUGUAUCACACAUCUGUCUUGUGGCACAUCAAAUCUGGGUUUAUCUCCUGGGAUGUUGUUGCAAAGUGGGAAAUGACAUUGCCAACAAGGUUCAGGUGGGGUUGGGGGCAUGUGUUCUCAUGAACUCUCUUAGCUUAUAAAACAACAGCAUUUGGGAGCAGUAAACCACCAAAACCCAAACCUCUCUGCACCUCUGUGUGAUUAUCAAUGUCCUGUCCUGCCAUCCCCUCCCAAAGAGCAGCAAUGAUUCUCACAGUGGGAGAAUACAGGCCAAAAUUCCAUUUUUUCCCUGAGUUAUGAUCAUCCUGCACCUCAGAGGAAGGCAAAGCUGGCUGGCACAAGCAGGGACAGCCGUGGCUGAGAGCUUGAUGCUUUGCCCUCUAGGUUUUUGGGGAAGGAGAAGAGAUUAUAAUGUUAAAAACCUGUACAAUCACUGAAAACAGCCAUUUCUUAGCACCUACCCAUGCUUCCCACGGGCCUGGGGGUGCAAGGGGAUGAAAGGGAGAGGCAGUGACAGCGAGGCCUGAAUGUCCCAUGCCUUUAUUCCAGAAAUCCUGCAAUUCCAGAAUGUCCCAUGCCUUUAUUCCAGAAAUCCUGCAAUUCCAGAAUAUCCCAUGCCUUUAUUCCAGAAAUUCUGCAUUUAGCUGUGGUGCAGGUCAGGGCAGGAUGUGGUUUGGAGAGAAUAGCAGAUUUUUUCUUUGAAUUGUACAACCCCUGACAGAGCAAUCCCUGUCUAGAACCCUGAAGAGAGCCUGGCUCGUUGCUGGGUACAUGAUGGGGAAUUGUUUAAUUGCUAGGAUUGUUUAAGGAUAAUUCACAUCAUGGUGCUCAGGACAUUUCCUCUAAGAAACACACUCCAACACUAACAGCCUUCUUCAAAUGCUAUUUUUGAGCCUCCUGAAGGGGUUCUCUGGAUAUUAAAAGAAAGAAAAUCAAUUGUAAGGUUAUUUUUAAUUUGCAGAUCGAAUGUACAUUUUGAUUGACCUGUUUGUGUGGC